rnacentral:tRNA from 1 species
AAAUAAGAAGCAAAUAUUUGCAUUUAGUUUCGACCUAAAAAUAUGACACCCCUUGUGCCCUUAUUUU